rnacentral:rRNA from 1 species
GUCGAGAAUCUUUCACAAUGGGGGCAACCCUGAUGGAGCGACGCCGCGUGGAGGAUAAGGUCUUCGGAUUGUAAACUCCUGUCAUGCGUGAACAAGGUUGCUUGGUUAAUACCUGGGCAAAUUGAUGGUAACGCAAGAGGAAGAGACGGCUAACUCUGUGCCAGCAGCCGCGGUAAUACAGAGGUCUCAAGCGUUGUUCGGAAUCACUGGGCGUAAAGGGUGCGUAGGUGGCGUGGUAAGUCAGAUGUGAAAGACCGGGGCUCAACCUCGGAACUGCAUCCGAUACUGCCAUGCUAGAGUACUGGAGAGGUGACUAGAAUUCUCGGUGUAGCAGUGAAAUGCGUAGAUAUCGAGAGGAAUACCAAAGGCGUAGGCAGGUCACUGGACAGUUACUGACACUGAGGCACGAAGGCCAGGGGAGCGAACGGGAUUAGAAACCCCAGUAGUCC